AAUUCAUUUUGGGGGCAACUCCUUAUCAAUCCCUUAUAGCAUUCCCAUGCUUCAUAUAGUGACCCCCCAGUUGUUGUUCGAAAUUCGCUAUAGGUUUCUUGAGUUU